rnacentral:SRP_RNA from 1 species
GCCGGGCGCGGUGGCUCGCGCCUGUAAUCCCAGCACUUUGGGAGGCUGAGGCGGGUGGAUCACCUGAGGCCAGGAGUUCGAGACCAGCCUGGCCAACAUGGUGAAAACUUGUCUCUA